rnacentral:sRNA from 1 species
CAGGCAGAAGGGGAAUUAGGUUGGGCCUUAGAAGGUCCUUCAAGUGUACAUCCACGAUCUCAGCAGCAGACACUGGCAUCUGGCUCUGCCCCUACUGUAUAGAUGAGGUGACAAGCUGGAAGGUCCCAGGGCCCUUCCUUGGUGCAGCUCUCAGGGACUUCUGGGUGAAGGGCUAACUUUGCCCCUGGCUAUCUUUGUGGGGUUGCUUCCCUCCUAGGCCUGAGGCCCAGCCAGCGCCCAAUGGAUGACAAAAAGAAGAAACGGAGUCCCAAGCCCUGCCUGGCCCAGCCAGCCCAGGCCCCAGGCACACUACGGAGGGUCCCUGUGCCUACCAGCCACAGCGGCUCCUUGGCCCUAGGACUUCCUCAUCUGCCAUCCCCCAAGCAGCGGGCCAAGUUCAAGAGAGUAGGCAAAGAGAAGUGCCGCCCAGUCCUGGCUGGAGGUGGAAGCGGCUCUGCAGGCACGCCCCUGCAGCACUCCUUCCUGACCGAGGUGACUGAUGUCUAUGAGAUGGAGGGGGGACUCCUGAACCUGCUCAAUGAUUUCCACUCUGGCCGGCUGCAGGCCUUCGCUGGAAGACCUCAGUAAUUCUAUCCAGAAGCUGCACCUGGCCGA